AUUUUUCCCCUUUAUCAUUCUACUUUUUUAUUCUUAGAUUUGAAAAAAAAAAAAGUAACCGAGAAAAAUUAAUAUCUUUAUUUUAAAAUAUGCCUGUCCACAGCUAUACUCUGAGAGGCUUCUGCAAAACAUGGGGAGCCUUGAGAUCUUUGGCAUCCCUUUCUGUGUCAGACUUCAUGUGCAUACACUCAGUGUAUAUAUUUUGUGAGGGAGUAGCUUGAAGAAAGCUUAUAUCUCCAUAUGCAAAACCAAGGACUCCUUGCACAUCACUGUCCACUGUGCCAUGUGUUCUGAUGAUUAUCAAGGAUCAGAAAACUGCAGAUGUUUGUCAGUUUCAGUCUGAUGUUAGCUAGUUGUGCUGGCCACUUGGAUGUCAUUGAGUACCUGAGAUCACAAAGUGCUUCUUGGGAAGCCAGACUUCUGGAGGUCCUGUACUCGGCUGCAGAUGGAGGACCUUUUCCCAUUACUGAAUGGAUAAUUAAUGACAGCUGUAAGGUGCCACUACUGCCAGUUGUCAAUUCGUCUUUGUUUUAA
rnacentral:lncRNA from 1 species